rnacentral:rRNA from 1 species
AGUCGAACGGCAGCGCGGGGCAACCUGGCGGCGAGUGGCGAACGGGUGAGUAAUAUAUCGGAACGUACCCUGGAGUGGGGGAUAACGUAGCGAAAGUUACGCUAAUACCGCAUACGAUCUAAGGAUGAAAGUGGGGGAUCGCAAGACCUCAUGCUCCUGGAGCGGCCGAUAUCUGAUUAGCUAGUUGGUGGGGUAAAGGCCUACCAAGGCAUCGAUCAGUAGCUGGUCUGAGAGGACGACCAGCCACACUGGAACUGAGACACGGUCCAGACUCCUACGGGAGGCAGCAGUGGGGAAUUUUGGACAAUGGGCGAAAGCCUGAUCCAGCAAUGCCGCGUGAGUGAAGAAGGCCUUCGGGUUGUAAAGCUCUUUUGUCAGGGAAGAAACGGUGAGGGCUAAUAUCCCUUGCUAAUGACGGUACCUGAAGAAUAAGCACCGGCUAACUACGUGCCAGCAGCCGCGGUAAU